CAGAGGAGCAGAGCACAAGCAGCUCAUGACUGCCUGCAGGUGUCAUUGCCCACCGUUGCUGGGCAGCCAAGAGCCUUGGUGACAUUUCAGACUGCCGCUGCCUCCCCUGCCCACCCACAGAGAGACGCAGCUCUUGCUCUGCACCUCUCCUCUUUGCACACCUCUGCGUCUGUGCUGGCACCAGGGGCAGGUGCCUGGAAGGAGGGGGCCUUUCUCCAUGGAUUUCCACCGGUUCCUUGUGGCCAUGCUGCUCCCUGUGGGCUGGGCCCUUCAGCAAUCACCAGAUACAGUUGUCCGGCUGGGAGACACCGUCACUCUGCAAUGUUCUGCAUCAGCAAACAAUUACAUACACAUGUACUGGUACACGUUACCCAAGGAGAAGGAUGCCAGAAUGCAGCUGGUUGUGUAUUCAGUGGAAGGUGGCAAAGCAGAUAUUGAGAAGGAAUUCCAAAAUCGCUUCCAGAGUAGCGGGACUAGGAACAACCAUUUAGCUGUGCAGAUCCAGCAUGCCCUACUCAACGACACAGGCACAUAUUUCUGUGCUGAACAAGAUCCACAGUGAGUCAAAGGCUGGUGCAGCACAGCACAAACCUUUCCAGGCAAGCAGGGAUCUGCCACCAGCACACA